GAGGAUAUAGCUCAAGUGAUAGAAUGUGUGCUUAGCAAGCCCAAGGUCCUGGGUUCAAUCCCCAGUAUCCCCA
rnacentral:tRNA from 1 species